rnacentral:piRNA from 1 species
UGUGAUCGAUCAUGGGGUGCUGUG